GGCCCCUAUCGGUAAAAAAACACGAAACGUCUCGUCGAGACUGAUCAAAUAAGCCUCAAAGAAGGAAGCAAACGUGUAUAAACGCAGGGUGAAGAUUACGUUUCUGCAUUUCCAUUAAUUCGUCUCUCACUUUAAAGCGGAGAACGUAUAUCACACCGGGAGCUUUGACCUUACAGUAAAACCGAGACGUUGACGUAGAGCUAUGGAUGGGUCAUUCCGGAAACGACGAGCGACACGAGGCGUACGUGACAAGCGGCCCCUACGUCCAGCUCAGCAGAAUACGAUUGAAAAUAAGGAGGCGUUAAGGCGACGUUACGACUUCACGGUCUCACUAUGUUACGAGGGUCUUCCCAUGCCCUUAAGAUCUACCAUUACAGCCGUAUUAUUCGGUCGAUUGCGCUGCACUGCGGAUGCGCCCCUCAAUCGAAGAUGCAAGCUUCUUCUCGUGCGACUCUCCUCCCGAGCCGUUCGUCUGCCUUUGCGACGCAAAAAUGCCGGGACAUUCACGGAAUGCUGUAGCGAUGAGCGCUACCUUGGAUGGAUAAAAUAAUGCAUAAUGACGGUAAGCGGAUGAAGUCUACACAUAUAUACGUACAAAGAAGAAUCGCACGGAAGCAAAAGCGCGGACUACGUACGUUACGUUUUGUUUCGUACAUGUGAAAAAAAUUCAUGCGGCAAUACAUGGUAAUAAAAACAGCACGAGUAUGUAACAGUCAUUUUGUUACAGUUCGACAAUUAUCGUAUUUUUCCUUUUAAUUUAAAGUAGUGGAAAGAAAAUGUAUAAAGUUAAACCGUUAUUUAAUUAUCUUUUAUAUAUGUUUACUUUGUACGCCAGCAAACGGAAUUGUAUUUAUCUAAAAAUAUUUGUACGAUUCAGUCUUCUAACUUUCUAAAUAGUUUUAAUAUAAGUAUGGCACCUUUAAACGAGUAACGCGCGCUCGUGAGUGUGUGUAUCACAUGUGGAUACAAAAAUGGAAUAAUCUCCUCUUAAUACGUACAUGUGCUCAAGAUAAAUGUUUUUAUAGAUUAAACAUGUUAAAUUAAAAUAUCAACGACACAAUUUUCCUGAUGACAUUCCUCAAGUCACUGUUAUUUGUAACAUUGAAAAACGAAAAUAUUUUCUAAGGCUAAAUCAAUACCGAUUCAAUAUUUCAUUAUUCUAAUUUGCCAACGAUUCCGAUAAUCAGUUUCUUCUCAGCGAUAAAUUCCAAGGUAAAUUCCUGCGAAAGAUAUUAAAAUAAGAUUCGUUUUUAUCUACGUUGUUAUACGAACUUGUCGCGCUGUAUACCGCAUUUCAGCCGACAUAAUGUAAAAAAAAAAAAACUGGACAAUUAAGUGGUUACGAAAGUCUGCCGGGAAUGUCACGCGGUAAAAGGCAGGGCUCCCUUGAAAACUGCGUUUUCACGGGGUGCGCUAUGGCCGAAGUCAAAAGGCGGAAGGACCACAGACGCGGAUGAAGGUAGAUUAAACAUUUUUGAGUCGCGCCAUUAAGCUCGGUAAUAACGAAUUUUACUACUCCGGGAGCACCCCAGCUCUCCCGGCUUCCGCGCGCCAAGUUAAUUACUUUCUCGCUCUGAGGACUUUAACCUCUCUUCUCAUUUGUUUGAACAUCUCAGGCCGACCUGCAGAGAGGCGCGCGGAGGCGCGUCCCUCCUUGGCCUCUCCCCUUAUCUCCGCUGCGUUUACCUUCUUACCCUACGAUGUUCUCGCCUUUAUUAGUCUUUAGCUCGAACAAGUCUUCGAGGACUUUUUGAACUUCGAAGCGUCUGCUACCUCCUCAGUUUCACGGCGUCAAAUACAUUUAAGUCAAACAUUAACACGUCCAGCGCAUGUUACUCGAGACACACGAAAAACGUUUCACCCGCCAGAUUCCCAAUAUUUUCUCACACACGGAGAACAGGAAUAUUUCUGUACAUUCUCUUAAUAUAAUAGUUAAAUUAUGAUUGCGUUUCGAGAAUAACAAUAAAGUUAGAAAUAAGAAUUUUUAAUGUAAGAAUGUAUUUUUUAUGAUUACAUAAAUAUCCACCUAAAAAAA